rnacentral:rRNA from 1 species
CGGGAGAAUUGCUAGCUUGCUAAUAAUUCUCUAGUGGCGCACGGGUGAGUAACACGUGAGUAACCUGCCCCCAAGAGUGGGAUAGCCCCGGGAAACUGGGAUUAAUACCGCAUAAAAUCGCAAGAUUAAAGCAGCAAUGCGCUUGGGGAUGGGCUCGCGUCCUAUUAGUUAGUUGGUGAGGUAACGGCUCACCAAGGCGAUGACGGGUAGCCGGUCUGAGAGGAUGUCCGGCCACACUGGAACUGAGACACGGUCCAGACACCUACGGGUGGCAGCAGUCGAGAAUCAUUCACAAUGGGGGAAACCCUGAUGGUGCGACGCCGCGUGGGGGAAUGAAGGUCUUCGGAUUGUAAACCCCUGUCAUGUGGGAGCAAAUUAAAAAGAUAGUACCACAAGAGGAAGAGACGGCUAACUCUGUGCCAGCAGCCGCGGUAAUACAGAGGUCUCAAGCGUUGUUCGGAAUCACUGGGCGUAAAGCGUGCGUAGGCGGUUUCGUAAGUCGUGUGUGAAAGGCGGGGGCUCAACCCCCGGACUGCACAUGAUACUGCGAGACUAGAGUAAUGGAGGGGGAACCGGAAUUCUCGGUGUAGCAGUGAAAUGCGUAGAUAUCGAGAGGAACACUCGUGGCGAAAGCGGGUUCCUGGACAUUAACUGACGC